UACGAAGGGGGCUAGCGUUGCUCGGAAUCACUGGGCGUAAAGCGCACGUAGGCGGAUUGCUAAGUCAGGGGUGAAAUCCUGGAGCUCAACUCCAGAACUGCCUUUGAUACUGAAGAUCUUGAGUUCGGGAGAGGUGAGUGGAACUGCGAGUGUAGAGGUGAAAUUCGUAGAUAUUCGCAAGAACACCAGUGGCGAAGGCGGCUCACUGGCCCGAUACUGACGGCUGAGGCACGAAAGCGUGGGGAGCAAACAGG
rnacentral:rRNA from 1 species